CCUACGGGUGGCAGCAGUGGGGAAUAUUGGACAAUGGGGGCAACCCUGAUCCAGCCAUGCCGCGUGUGUGAAGAAGGCCCUCGGGUUGUAAAGCACUUUCAGUGAGGAAGAACGCCUGGUGGUUAAUACCCAUCAGGAACGACAUCACUCACAGAAGAAGCACCGGCUAACUCCGUGCCAGCAGCCGCGGUAAUACGGAGGGUGCGAGCGUUAAUCGGAAUUACUGGGCGUAAAGCGCGCGUAGGUGGCUUGAUAAGCCGGUUGUGAAAGCCCCGGGCUCAACCUGGGAACGGCAUCCGGAACUGUCAAGCUAGAGUGCAGGAGAGGAAGGUAGAAUUCCCGGUGUAGCGGUGAAAUGCGUAGAGAUCGGGAGGAAUACCAGUGGCGAAGGCGGCCUUCUGGACUGACACUGACACUGAGGUGCGAAAGCGUGGGUAGCAAACAGGAUUAGAUACCCUAGUAGUC
rnacentral:rRNA from 1 species